AUGUACUGUAUCUGCUUUUCAGAGAAAAAGAAAGUUGGGAAGCUUCCAGAGAAAAAGAAUAUUAUGCCACUGCCACUGAAAAUGUCGUUCUCCAUUCCUUCAUUUGGAUUUUGCAAAUGGUUUGUGUCCAAUAGAUCAGUAUCAAAGAUCACUAUGCGAUACAAAGGCAGGAUCCUCUUUUCAGGACCUGCUGCUGCGUCGUCGUCUCCUCCUCGUCGCCGUCCCUUCUCAGCCAUGGAGAACGGAGGCCGGGUCUAUGAGGCGACCACGCUCCCGGCCGAGCAGCCCCCUCAGGGGAAGGCGCCCCGCUGCUGCCCCGGGUGGGCCCUCAACCGCCUCCAGCCUAUACGGCUCUUCCUGAAGGUCUCCCAGCUGUUGCUGUCCUUCCUAGCCUUUGUCUGUGAAGAAGUCGUGCCCGAAUGCACCAACUGUGGUGGACUUUACUUCUUUGAGUUUGUCAGCUGCAGUGCCUUCCUUUUGUGCCUCGCGAUCCUCAUCAUAUAUUGCACUCCUUUGUACAAGAGGACAGGGAAGAACAUAACAGAGCUUUUGGAUCUGUGCGUUGUUAUAAUAAUACUAUGCUUCUUCGCACUAGCUUCAUUUGUGUUUACUGCAACCAGUGAUGGGACAACAAUUGAAACUGUUGCUCUUGUAUUUGGAUAUCUUGCCAGUCUUGCCUUUCUUGCAGAUGCUCUUCUAUCAGGUUAUAAGAAAUGGAAAGCGAAAAAAGGGGGGCAACCAGAAAACACAGUCAACCACCUGAAUCCAAGAGAGAACGAGCCUCUGAAUAACCAACCAGCCUAAGCUCUAAACCACAACAACUGCUUCUUGUUUGGUGCUGAGUGAAGUGGAAAAGAGCCUACUUUUUAAGGUGUCAGAUUGUUAAUUUUUAUUUCAGUUUUUUAAUUCACCGUCCUUAUAUUUGAUCUAAACACACUGUCUGUUCAUAUGCAAUUCCUGAAUUGUGGUUUCCCCACAUCUACCCUCAGAGGAACACUGGAUUUGUCCAGGUGUCCCCUUCAACUCUAUGUGUUACUAUAUCAGUAAUAAAUAGGCUAUAAUAUGUUCCGAAAAGAAGGGAUCUUAAAAUGAACUUGUAUAGUCCUCCUGAGAUAAAUUUUAGUUAGCAAUACGCAGGGGGUUAAGUGUUUUCAUCUGAUAAUAAAAUUAGUUCAGUAGUGAAGGUGGGAUGGAGCAGUGCUUGAAAAGAAAUGGGGAAUAUGUGGCCUCCUUUGACUAUACCACACGCUUUAGAAAGUGAAGACAUAACAUCUGUGAUGGUGUGAUCUAUGCAACUUCCAUACACACACUAGUAGCAGGUCACAUUUCAAAAAACAGACUGAUUUGGACAUACCGUAAUUUUCCCCUCUUAUAUUACAUCUCCCUGACUAUAAAUUACAAACAUAGACAGUUUUGUAAGGCUUUUAUUGAUAGUAUUUGGAAUAGGAAGCUUUUUAUUAUAUAUUUUAAGAAUUGCACUGUGAGGUGCUACUUUCCCCUGGGUUUUUAACCCCUUACCACAACAGUCAGCAUUUCAUGCUCAUUCGGUUCCUGAGUGGGAAAGGGUUUCUACAAUGAUUAUCUAUUUUUUCAUACUAUGCAUACAUUGCCCCAUUGUGCACUAACUUUUUUCUACAUAAGGGCUUGGAGAAUUGAGAUAACUAUAAACAUAUAUUAGAUAUACACUUCUUUAGGGCAGAUACAAUGGAUUAUGUCCAUGUUCUGUCUUUUACUGUUUUGAAAAAUAGCUAACUAGAUAAAACUUCCUUUCAUUUAUUGAAAUUCUAGUUUAAAGGAUUCUAUAUGGGCUCAUUUUUGGAGAGAAAAUAUGUAAGAAAAAGGAACCUUUAUCCCCUCUCCAAUUCUAUUUGUUAAAAAAUUAAAAUUGUGAUUCUGACAUAUUUCUACAGUUUCCUCUGUUUUCCCAAGUCCAUACACAAAUAGAACCUAAAAAAGUUAUUUUUUCUGAACAAAUACUGAUUUGCUGGCUGCAGGAUUCUGGCAGCUUGAGUUCAUUAUUAUAGUCCCAACUAUAGUAGUCCUGUUGAAUCAGUGGAACUUCCCUAAGGGUUGAUUUGCCAAAUUGGUUCAUUAAAUGCAGACUAGUAACUGGAUUUUGUCUCCCCUCCCCAAGUAAACAUUCCAAGCUCUGGAAUAAAUAUAGUAGGACAUAUUUAUUCUAGGGGGCUUUUACAGGUAGAAAAUGUGUGUGUGUGUGUGUAUUAUAAUCAAAGCAAAAUACCAAUUGUCAGGUGUUGUGAGAUACUGUCACAACAUACCCUAUAUUUUCCAGGAUAUGACUUGAUAACAUACCGACCAUUGGAGCUGUGUUAAAACGAGAAAGGAGGUGCAGCUUCCACAAAGGUCUGUCUUGGAGCAAAAAUUUAAAAAAAUGUAGCCUAUCAGUGGGAUUUGGGAACAGGGAACCAUUUAUGCUGCAGAGUGAAACCUGCUCUGUUGUGGCUUCUACUAUUUAUUAAUUGGAAUUGUUUUUAGACAAUUUUAAUUGACUAAACUGUAGUCCUCAAAUAUUAUGCAGAAUUUACUUUCUAGGAUUUCUGUUACUAGAGUUGAAAGUCAAAGGAGAUUUUUUAAAAAGUAUGUUACUUCACAGGCAUUUAUUAAUGAAGGAUAUUUGGAAAAGAUGUGAAAGCAGCUGAGAGAUUAUUUUUUGUGUGUGCAAGGAGGGACUAAGGCUAUGCUUUGCAUACUUUCUACGGAGUAAACCUAGGGCUUCAUAAAUAUGCAUAGGAUUGUGCUAUAAAGUUUAGUCUACACUUAAGGAGUAAUUUUGCAUAUUAAGUUGCAAAAUACAAUUUGUGGACCUAACUGGCAGUAUAUGAUGAAGGUCAAGCUAGUAAUCAUAGGUGUUUUUCUGCAUAGGUGAAAGUAGGCAAUACUUUUGCUUGUAAGGGGGGGGGGGAUUAUGAGGCCCUCCAGCUUUUGUUGAACUCAUUCCCAACCUGUGGUUAUGCUGGCAAAGUCUUUUGGGACUUGUCAUCAAAAAGCACAAUUCCCACAACUGCCUUAGAACUUUUUGUUUUGUUCAUGUUAAAAUCAAAGUAAUGCAGAGGUGUAAUGGUAGUUACCUAACUACAAGUUUGUAAAUGUCCACCUGAUUAGCUGUCCUUGUAGAGCAGUAAUUCCCAAACUCUGCUUCUCCGGGUGUUUUGCAAUUCAACUCCCUGCAGUCUCAGCCACAAGAAACUGAAGUCCAAAAUACCCAGAGUGCAUUGUUUGUGAAUCUCUGAUAUAAAGGAAGAACAACCGCUAAGUGAUCUGGCAGGGAAACUCUGUAAAACUGAAACAAAUUAAGUUUAUUUUUCUUUACAAGAUGUGAGUGUUUUUAACAUAUUGGGGGUGCAGGGUAUUUAUUUACAGGCUUCUUUUUCACUUGUAUCAACACAAAUUAUGCUUGCAAUGUUUUUUCUCUACAAAACUUAUCUCUGAUUUUUUGAGAAGCCAUUGUUAAUUUUGUUGUUACUUAAUUCAUCUUAUAAGUAUUUCAGAUAUUGAGUUAGAUCUAUAUUAUUGAAAACAUUUUGCUAACUAAAAAUGUCUCUGCCCAAAUUCAGGGUAUACUCCUUCAAGACUGAACCACCCCUCAUCCCCAUUCAACAGGGUUUUAUGACCCUCUGUUUAGGGGCUGCUCUAAAACUGUGUAAUAUCUCAUUUCUAGAAUGCUGUAUAGAUUCCUUUUGGAAUAAAUUUGGGAUUAAUGGCUUUUACACAAAUAUUCUUUCAGUUUCUGGCUGAGGCUGAUUUUAAAUAUCAUUUAUCUCUCUGCAUCUCAGCAAAUAUGUGCAUGUGGCCACACCUUUGAAAGUAACACACAGUAAAUAUGAAUGGUUCAAAUUUCACAUCACGGUUGAUAAUUUUGGAGACUUAACAUGAAACAUGAUUGGAUCAAUACCUGUUACAGUACCAGGGGUGUAUAGAGCAGAGAUGAGGAUCAUGCAGCCAUGUUGAUGUGAUCAGACAAUAUUCCUGACUGUUGGCUAUGAGGGCAGGACUGCUGAAACACUCAGUCCGACACAUGAAGCACUACCUGAUUCCGACCCUUGUGGUAGAACUUCCGAAAUUAAACAUUACUAAUUUAGGCUGUUGAUUGCAGUGAGUCUUAAGUAUGGACACACCUGUUAACCCCAUGGCACUUCAUGCCAUACUGACUGUGGGAUUCUGGGAGUUGUUGUCCAAAAAAGUAACUUCUCAAACUUCUGAGCUGAAGUACAGACUUUGCAAAGCAGAAUCAAAAGAGUUGCUUUUGAGUUUGUGUAUGCUGAGCUGAAUAUUUUGAUUUUCACCCUAUGUAUAGUCGAUCCCCAUGACUAUAGCCAUAAGAUAUUAAAAUAUGGUUUGACACAAUGCAUGGAGAAAUGGGUGCUAGAGACUGAUAAGCCUAACAUGUGCCUGGACACAAAUAAUUUAUUGCACUGUGGCUUGGAUGCCAGCCAGAGAGAGUGUCUUGUAAAGCCGAUCUGUAAUGUAGAAGUCAUUUGAAACAGGGAGAGAAGUAAAGAUAGGAAGACAACUUUGAAAAAAAAGAAUAAGAUUUCAGAAUCAGGGAAACCAUACCGAUUAUAGAAUCAAUGGAAUUAUAGAAUAAAUCGUGGUAAAUGCUUUGUGAACAUUUCAGAACUGGCAUAAGUUGGAGCUAGAAUGUCUUAUAAAAAUGUAUUUGGAUAUGUAUGAUAUGGAAGAAAAACCUAUGUACAUUUAUUAAUAGCUUAUUCAUUCCACAUUUGUGACAUAGUCUUUUUAUGAUCUAUUUUUAUUGUCUGCUCUUAUCACACAAUCAUUUUGUAAUUGUUUUUAUUAAAAAUUGUAGAAAGCA